CAAAAGAACAAUUGGAUUAUCUGUUAUUUCCCAUAAGUCCAUUUUUUUUGUUUGUAGAGAAACAGAGAAGAGACAUAUUGUAGUAUAUGCAAAUCGAUGAAAAAUCAUGGAUUGAAGGAGAAAUCGGACGACUUACAUAAUUAUUAACAAACUAUCUGUCAGUUGUUACUAGCCGAAAACAUGGCUUCAACUUAUAAAAAACUGCGCAUUGCAUUUUUUUUGUUUUCUGCCAUUGGACUUAUUUUAUAUAUUGUGGCAUUCUCCAUUCCAAAAUGGUCUACUCACGAAAGUGGAAGUGAUGGACUUUGGCAAAUAUGUUAUAUAAAUGGUGGUAGUGAUACUUGUGCUUUGUGGCCGGACUAUCUCAAAUCUCGUAAGUUACUUGUGCUUUGUGGCCGGAGUAUCUUAAAUCUCGUAAGUUAACUAAUAUCGACGGUCUCAAUUCAGGUUUCAAUGAGAAUGUGUUCAUAUUAUCACAAUAUUUUCAAAUAUAAAACUUGGAGGUUGCAACUCCCACAUGCCAAGUUGAACUCAGUCUGCAUUACCUGUUCUGAUUAGGUUCUGUCUGUUUUCAUUGCUCACGAACAAUUACUAAUAUUUAACUCCUGGAUCCUUUGGUUUCCAAAUUAAAAGUAGUCAUAUAAACACGGGAUCGUGCGCCAGACGGUAUCGUACGUUGGCAACAUCAUAUCCAUUCUUAUAAUUCUUUUUUUUAAAGGACUAUGUGCUAUUGGCUUUUUUUUGUAUUUCUGUUUCAGCCAACCACAAAACAGUUGAGAUUGUGUCAUGUCUAGGACUAUCAUUCUACAUUUUGUUUGUCGUGAUGUCUGCAUUAACAAUAUUUUGGACAAAUCAAUGGAAGAAGGCGAGAGCAAUCAAAUAUACGACAGUUGUUCUGGCAAUUUUAGCAGGUCAGUUUAUAAUA
rnacentral:lncRNA from 1 species